CUAGUGUAUAUAAAAUAUAUAUGGUUAGGAAUAACACCGAAAAUACAAAAUAUGUAUGGUGUGCUGUAAAGCGUACGAUAAGUCCUAUUGAUCUACUGUAAGCCCUUUCGAUACAAUGAAAUUGUAAAUUUGUAUUCUUAACAAUUUUGAAUAGAUACUGAUUUCAAAUGACUAAAGCCAUGUUAUAAUUAUCAGUGCAACUGUUAGGAAGUGCGAAAUUUUUGAACGGAGGACGAAAAUCCUAAAGAAAAGGUGAAGUUUCUAAAUCAUGGGGGCGAAUUUCC